rnacentral:lncRNA from 1 species
AGAAGGUCGUCUCAGGACCUUCGGACAAUUAUGAACGGGAUCAAGAGACGUUGAGCUUGGCAGAGGAGAAAUGUGAUCUUCAAAUUGCAGAAUCAGAGGGGAGUCUCUGAGGCAUUCCAAAGAUUCAGAUGUAGUAUCUGUGAGAAGGUACUAAAGUGUAAAGGUGGAUAUACUGUUCAUCAGCAGAUGGACUUGAAGUCAAAAGAAAAGGAGACAGUUCAGGCAUUUCUACAGAUUUCCAAGCGUGAAUGCUCUUAUGUCCAGCUGAGAACAAAAAUGAUGAACAAGCAGAAAGUACAGCAGCAAAGGACAAGGAAGAGAUGGCACACAUUUCAAGAAUAAGAUUAACUUAAAAAGUAUGCAGAUGAUUUCUAAGGGAUGUUACAGUUGGGAAUUCACUUUCCCAGUAAAGUACAGAUACUAUGUAGCUAGUACUUUGCUGGUGUGUGCUUUGAACCCACCCUCACAGAACUACAUAAUCAGCAAUUUAACCUGACGAAUGUUAGUCAAGGUCUCGUUCAGA